CCUUUUUGUUUUUAUGCAGUUUUGAAUUUUACCUGACGUUGAGAUCUUCUAGUUUAGCGAGUAAAGCGUGGGAUACGAUAACGCUGCUCGACGCAAAUAUGCUUGCUUGGUCAUUCGUGUCUUCGAUAUUUCUUUGGAUCGGACCGAGACGAUCACCGAAUUUUCGUAACUGUUCCAACAUUUCUGUCGCCUCACUUGAAUCUGUUGGGUUCUGCCAGCUUCCUUGAAGAGCCUCAGCCGCAGCCAUUCUCGAUGAUAAAUCCUCCAACGAUUUUUGGAAGACACACAUUUUCUGAAAAGAUGAUUCGAAGGAUUGUGAGGACCCAUUGGCCUUAUUCAGUCGCCGAACAGCGCCAGAAAAUCGGAGAGGCUUCGAGGACAAAACACGAAGAUGAGCAUGGAAAAAUGCCGAUUUUGCGGGUCAUGAACAAGAUGCAUGUGACUCAUGAAUGAGUUAUAGUGUGACAAGCAAUUGUGAUUUUUUAGAACAUUUACAAGAACUAUUCUUUACCGCAAAAUCAAUUGAUGUUUCAACAAAUUGUUCAUUGCAAAAUUAAGGUGUGGAUCAAUCCACAAUUUGCAAUCAAGAAGCGUCAAUAUGUAAAUUAUAUUUUCGACACAUCAAUAAAUGG
rnacentral:misc_RNA from 1 species